rnacentral:rRNA from 1 species
AUACGGAGGAUCCAAGCGUUAUCCGGAUUUAUUGGGUUUAAAGGGUGCGUAGGCGGACUGGUAAGUCAGCUGUGAAAGUUUGCGGCUUAACCGUAAAAUUGCAGUUGAUACUGUCAGUCUUGAGUGUGCAUGAGGUGGGCGGAAUUUGUGGUGUAGCGGUGAAAUGCUUAGAUAUCACGAGGAACUCCAAUUGCGAAGGCAGCUCACUGGGGCAUAACUGACGCUGAUGCACGAAGGUGUGGGUAUCAAACAGGAUUAGAUACCCUGGUAGUCCACACAGUAAACUAUGAAUACUCGCUGUUUGCGAUAUACAGUAAGCGGCCAAGCGAAAGCAUUAAGUAUUCCACCUGGGGAGUACGCCGGCAACGGUGAAACUUAAAGGAAUUGGCGGGG